CCCUGUGAAGUGGGGUUGUGAUCCUCAGUGGACUUUUUGGCUUGGAUCACAGGGGCCUGGCACACAGUGGGCAACAGUGUGUGUGUGUGUGUCUGUCUGUCUGUCUGUCUCCAUGUCCUUCCUGGCCCUGUCCAGUCAUUGAGGAGAGUCUGCUACUGCCUGUCUACACGCCUCCACGGUGUGAGGGCACCGUGAGGAGGUCGCACACAGUCUGAGGGCCGACAGGAGAAAGACGGAGGUGGCGUCUUCUUGGCUGAGCUGGAAUCGUCCAGAGAAUGUCCCGCGUAUAUGCCACAUGUGUGAAAGUGUGUGUGUGUGUGUUGGCGUGAGUAUGUAUUGUGUUGGUGUGUGCAGGUUGUAUGCAUCUGUUCGUAAGUACACAUGUGCACACAUAUGUUAGCGUGUAUGUGUGCAUGCGUUCACAAGUGUGUGUGCAUGUGUUAUUGUGUACAAUGUGUUUGUGUAUACGUGUAUGUGUGCAUGUGUUAGUGCUUGCAUGUGUGUGUGUGUGUACGCAUGCACGCAUCCCUGUGCACAUCUAUGUGUGUGUGUGUGCUCGUGCGUGUGCCUUCGUGGGUAUAUAAAGUGGGCCAGGAGGAAGAGGAGAGAGGCAGCCGCUGGAUGUUUGGUUUCCUUCAAUGACCCAGUGACUCAGGAAAGUCCUCUGGCACAUAUCUCGGGAGCCAGGGAGCAGGACCUGACUCUGGUGGUCCUGAAAAGCCACGACAGAUGCUCGCGGCAGCCCCCGCGCUGGCAGCGGGGAGACAACACCCACCUCGGGGCCGGAGGAGACCAGAAGGCCGUCAGCGCGGAACAUCUGGGCACAUCUCAAAUGUGCGGCUUCCUGUAGGGUCGCCUUGGCCCGGAAACCACAGGAAUCUGCCCUCGCGCUGUGGGGGAGAGCGAGUUUCCAGGCUCUGAGCACUUAUCACACGUCGUUUUGUGUGUCUGCCUCUGGGUGGCUUCCCCUGCACUGUCCCACGGCGUCACAGGGCCAGGGACACGGCUGGGGCCUGAUCCACGCUUGAACAGGGGUUGCCAGACUCUAUCCAAAACCUCACGGCGCUUUCCAAGUUCCAGCAUCGCCUGGCUGCUCCCGGCAGCUUCCAGUCUUGCAUUUCUCCUGCUGCCAGUGAUUCAGACCAAAGCCUUCCACGUGCCCCCUGCCUCCCCCGACCCCAUCAGCUGACUUCCCUUCUCACUGGUACCCGCGCCCGUUUCCUCCUCCCUCCACCCACAUACCCCCCCCCCAGGACCCGUUUACCUUCGGAAGCUGCUCCCCCCGGUUCCUCUUUUAGAGGCUACGAGCGUGCUGUGUGUUUGGCCUCUGGCUCACGGAGGACCAGAAAAACAAAAUUUAUCAUCUGACUGUCCUAUUUUUUUUUUUUCUUUCUUUCCAUUUUAUUUCCCCCUAAGAAUGAAGCCAGCACUUCGCCGCCAUGCUCCGAGGGAGCAUCAGACAUGGCAGGCCACAGGCAAAAGCGUCUCCUCCUCCUUAGAGAGAAGGAAUGCAGCCGUUAACAAUAAAAAAAAAAAAAUCCCUGGGAUUUAUGGAGGCCUUGGGCUUAUGAGCCGUCUCACAUCCGUUAGCCAGCGUGACACAGCCAUCCAGGGGGGCGAAGCUGGAGUCCCAGCUCCAUCUGAGAGACAGAGAAACUGGCUCCGGAGCACAGGUCCUGGGACCCGGCUAAGCCCCCAGCUGCCCAAGCUGGUGAAAUUUCCUUGCAUAUGUAUGUAUGAACCGGGCUGAUUUGCUCAAUGAAAACAUUAAAAAUACAUGGUUUGUU
rnacentral:lncRNA from 9 species